rnacentral:rRNA from 1 species
UUGCAGAAUUCAGUGAAUCAUCGAAUCUUUGAACGCACCUUGCGCCCUUUGGCCAUUCCGAAGGGCAUGCCUGUUUGAGAAUCAUGAAAUACCUCAACUCUCAUGGCUUGCCGUGAUGAGCUUGGACUUUGGGGGUCUGCUGGCCUACGGCCAGCUCCUCUCAAAUGUAUCAGCUUGCCAGUGUUUGGUGGCAUCGCAGGUGUGAUAGUUAUCUACACUUGUGAUCUUCCACCAGGUGACCUUUGGUGACAGAGGUCCGCUGGGGCUUAUAAAUGCCUCUCUUUGGUGAGGGCAGCUUUUGACCAUUUGAUCUCAAAUCAGGUAGGACU